rnacentral:rRNA from 1 species
UACGUAGGUGGCAAGCGUUGUCCGGAUUUAUUGGGCGUAAAGCGCGCGCAGGCGGUCCUUUAAGACUGAUGUGAAAGCCCACGGCUUAACCGUGGAGGGUCAUUGGAAACUGGGAGACUUGAGUGCAGUAGAGAAGAGUGGAAUUCCACGUGUAGCGGUGAAAUGCGUAGAGAUGUGGAGGAACACCAGUGGCGAAGGCGACUCUGUGGCCUGUAACUGACGCUGAGGCGCGAAAGCGUGGGGAGCAAACAGG